AUUGAACGCUGGCGGCAGGCCUAACACAUGCAAGUCGAACGAGUGGCGGACGGGUGAGUAAUGUAUGGGAAACUGCCUGGUGGAGGGGGAUAACUGCUGGAAACGGUAGCUAAUACCGCAUACCAUCCGAGCUGCCCAGAUGGGAUUAGCUGGUUGGCGGGGUAAAGGCUCACCAAGGCGACGAUCCCUAGCGGGUCUGAGAGGAUGACCCGCCACACGGGAACUGAGACACGGCCCAGACUCCUACGGGAGGCAGCAGUGGGGAAUAUUGCACAAUGGGCGCAAGCCUGAUGCAGCCAUGCCGCGUGUAUGAAGAAGGCCUUCGGGUUGUAAAGUACUUUCAUCGGGGAGGCGGUACCCGAAGAAGAAGCACCGGCUAACUCCGUGCCAGCAGCCGCGGUAAUUC
rnacentral:rRNA from 1 species